CUGUUGGAUUCUAUUCUGUAUGCUGCUGCCAGGAGCUCUUCCAUCAUAGGGCUGCUCAGCUCAUGAACUUAAAGUGGCUUCCUAUUGCUUCAAAUCCAAUAUUCCCAUAGCCAGGAUCUCUGUGAACUCCAACGACUCUUUCUUGGCUUCACAAGCUCUUCCACUCUAGCAAGUGCCUACUAGAUACUGGAUACGUGUUUGAUGACCUACUGCGUCUGACACGGACAACCUACAUGCCAAGACUAAAGAGGGUCCAAUGUUAUGCCUUCUGUCUGAUGAGGAAUACAGUUGGUCUGUCUGGACUUGACACUUUCCUACCCAUACACAACCCCCAGGUGGACGCUGGGAGAGGAAAGGAAAGAUAAAGAGUCACAGGUAGAAAGAGGGCAGAGCUACAACUUCCCCAUGGCUCCCACUGGUUCCCUGGAUGAUUGAAGGGCACUGCUUUCUGGCCUCAUCUGUCUGGAGGGGGAAGGGAGGAAGCUCUCAGGCAAUGGCCAUUCUUCCCUCUUCCUGGGGAAUCACCUCAGGGGAUACACCCCCCAUCAUGGGACCUACCCACGGCCCCAUCACUGCUGCUCUAUGGAUCAAAACGGAAGUGUCAGAGGCCUUGGAGCAGGUUUCCUAGCUCUGACCUGUGCAAGAUUGAGAGAAAAAGAAGGAAAUUAACCAGGCAUUGAUGUUCUGCUAUUGAAUAGAUAGUCUGCUAAGGGGUUUGCAUAUUUUGGCCACAGCCUUGUGAAGUGGCUAUUCUUACUUUUUCAUUGGUAAAGAGAUAAUCUAAGCUCAGAGUUUAAUCAGCGUGGUUAAAUCACACAGCUAGUAAGAAAUAGAGCUAUAAUUAAACUAAAUAUAAGGACUGGAAUCGUGGAGUGCCUGGGUGGCUCAAUCGGUGAGUCAACCCACCGACUCUUGGUUUUGGCUCAGGUCACCAUCUCAUGGAGGGUGGGAUUGAGCCCCACAUCAGGCUUCAUGGUCA